UGGCUAAGACAUCUCUUUUGGGAAAGC
rnacentral:piRNA from 1 species